UGAUAUAAUGUGUGCCACAUCGGCUGGUGUGCAACUGAAGGGAGGAGGGAGCAGGCGUUCCUCUGCUGCUGAAGAGGGCUGUGGAAACUUAAGUCAUAGACAUGCUUCAGUGAGAGGAUGAGGAUUUGCCCAGAUGGGAAGCUUCAAGUGCAGAGGCACUUGUACAUCUACUUAUCUUGAGUCUCAAUGAUGCUGUUUAUGAGUGAGCUAUUCAAAUGGAGGAAGAAACCCACGGAGAAGGAGAAAUAACAGGUCGGAGUGAUUAUGUACAGAAGGAUAGGCUCUAGCAGGAGUCCAGUGGGAAAGAAGGAAGGGAAUACAAUUAAGAAUUAUUAAUGGCAGAUCUCUAAUGAUUUCACUGGAUCCAAAGGAACAGGGCAAUACUGAGUAAGAAACACUUGAUAUACGAAAAAAGCGUGAGUGCGAAGGAAAAUACAUCAUUCUACAGAUGUUGACGGACUCUGACGGUGGGAAAGCGUCCCUCAAGAUUGAAUUGGAGUAGAAGCUGACCCUCCCACUUGCCCAGAGAUCCCCUAGCUGGAUACGAUUUCAGCAAUAGAACACUUGAUCAUCACAGUGCUUGGCAUAUAGUAAGUACUCAGUAAAUGUAUGAUCAAUGACAAAAAUAUGUAUAAAAUAAUGAGGAAAAUGAGGAAUUGGGUUUCAACACACAUGGGAACAAGAUAUAUUCAUGGAAUGUGCCUUUGAACCUGCAUUCAAAAGAACUCAGACAGAGGUGAGAAAACGAAAGCCUUAGAGAGGCCAAGGAGCUUGCCCAAAGGAGAAUGGACCAGAUGACCUCUAUAGGUGUCUCUCCACAGGGUAGAAAAAUCAAACGCCCAGAGAGGUCAAGAUGUCUGCAAAGAGACACAGAGUGAUGC
rnacentral:lncRNA from 10 species